rnacentral:rRNA from 1 species
UACGUAGGGGGCGAGCGUUGUCCGGAAUGAUUGGGCGUAAAGGGCGCGUAGGCGGCUUGUUAAGUCUGGAGUGGAAGUCCUCUUUUUCAAGGGAGGAAUUGCUUUGGAAACUGGCGGGCUUGAGUGCAGGAGAGGUUAUCGGAAUUCCCGGUGUAGCGGUGAAAUGCGUAGAGAUCGGGAGGAACACCAGUGGCGAAGGCGGCUUUCUGGCCAGUUACUGACGCUCAUGCGCGAAAGCUGGGGUAGCGAACCGGAUUAGGAUACCCCGGUAGUCCCUGAGCGGGCU